GUAAUUUGUGACUCCCUUUAAGAGAGGUUCAUGUUAAUGGCCGUUUUUCCAUCUGCAAGUAAAUGUGAUAAAUCAAGCGUGGGUCAUGCCGCAAGGUGAUCCCUUAUUUGUUAGUCGUGAGCACAAGUCCCACUGCUAUCUAAACAUCUUCUCCAUAUUAUUUAUUAGUCUCUAGGGAACAAAAUAAAAGGAAGAAUCAACUAUUGUUAUAGAUCUCAUGGGACUUUUGGCACAUGCUGGUUUGAUCCCAUAGUUGCUCCCUUGGGAUUUUGGUGGCUGAAAAUACAAUUGUUGUUUGGGUGAUUCGUUGCUAUUAGAGAGGGAGAUGGGAAGGGGAAGAAGAAAUGGCGAGGGAGGUUAAAGAGGAGACAACAGAUGAAUACAGAUCUGCAAUAAUCAAAAGCUACUCCUUCCAGUGGUGGGGGAAAGUUUGCA